UCCGGUUUAUCACCGGAUUAGAUACCCUGGUAGUCCACGCCGUAAACGAUGGGCACUAGAUGCCGGGUGUAUAGACGCAUUCGGUGUCGGAGCUAACGCAUUAAGUGCCCCGCCUGGGGAGUACGGCCGCAAGGCUGAAACUCAAAGGAAUUGACGGGGGCCCGCACAAGCGGUGGAGCAUGUGGCUUAAUUCGAUGCAACGCGAAGAACCUUACCUGGGUUUGACAUGCUAGUUAAAGCGGGUGAAAGCCCGUGUCCGCAAGGGGCUAGCACAGGUGCUGCAUGGCUGUCGUCAGCUCGUGCCGUGAGGUGUUGGCUUAAGUGCCGCAACGAGCGCAACCCCUGUCCUUAGUUGCCAGCGCGUAAUGGCGGGGACUCUAAGGAGACUGCCGGGGACAAC
rnacentral:misc_RNA from 1 species